GGCCAGUGUGGCAUAGUGGUUUGAGUGUUGGACUAUGACUCUAAAGACCAGGGUCUGAUUCCCAGCUUGGCCA
rnacentral:tRNA from 1 species